AAAUUGAACGCUGGCGGCAUGCCUUACACAUGCAAGUCGAACGGCAGCACGGGAGCAAUCCUGGUGGCGAGUGGCGAACGGGUGAGUAAUAUAUCGGAACGUGCCCAGUCGUGGGGGAUAACGCAGCGAAAGCUGUGCUAAUACCGCAUACGAUCUAUGGAUAGAAAGCGGGGGAUCGAC
rnacentral:rRNA from 1 species